UACGAAGGGGGCUAGCGUUGCUCGGAAUGACUGGGCGUAAAGGGCGCGUAGGCGGAUUUGUCAGUUGGGCGUGAAAUUCCUGGGCUUAACCUGGGGGCUGCGUUCGAGACGGCGGGACUGGAGGGGGGAAGGGGGUCGUGGAAUUCCCAGUGUAGAGGUGAAAUUCGUAGAUAUUGGGAAGAACACCGGUGGCGAAGGCGGCGACCUGGGCCUUUGACUGACGCUGAGGCGCGAAAGCGUGGGGAGCAAACAGG
rnacentral:rRNA from 1 species